ensembl:lncRNA
UGUGAACUUAGCGCCCUCUUGCGUUCUUUCUGCAACACUAAAUUCACAGUUUCUAAACCUGUACAACAAUUUCAUGCUGUUACUGUCUUUGCCUGUACUGUCGUAACCCAGUCUCUCGUUAACUAUGUACUAUAUGUACAAAUAAGCACAAUGGUAAGUAAUCUCAUUAACUAUGUACUAUAUGUACAAAUAAGCACAAUGUUUUUAUGUACUAAUAGCACAAACUCAUGAUGCAUUGCGCUCACAACCAUAACACCAAGAGACCUCUGAUGCCACGCCACUUCUCAAUAUCUUUAAACUUGAUGCGCACCGAGUUUGCGUUAUUAGUACAAAUAAACAUAACUGUUUAUUUUAGCUAUUAGCUAUUUUACGGUGAGAACGCGAGGUAAGUCAUUUUUAGGACAUUUUUAGGAAAAUUCUGUAUUUCGGCCCGCAUAACUAAUCUCUUAUUUUAUUUCAGUCAGUUAUGUAUAUUGGUUUAUCUUGUAGACAGGACCUGAUAUUUAUUUGCUCUGGACAACAGUAUCUUGUAUUUUUUAUUUUUUACAUUUUAACUAGGCAAGUCAAUUAAGAACAACUUCUUAUUUACAAUGACCGCCUACCAAAAGGCCUCCUGCGGGGACGGGAUAAAAAAAUAAAAAACGUUUUUUUUUUUUUUGUGAGGGGGGUUGCCUGCUUUCCAUGUUAUUUUGCCAUUAAUACGUGUCACAUAUCAGUCUGCAAACAAUGUAAAACAUUUAAACAUAUCAUAAAGCCAAACAUGGUCUCCUUUUUGUUUUCUUGAGUAAGGCAGCUCCAAAAUGCAGGUGUUUCAACCUAGCUCUUUCUGUGGUGGUGGGGCAAGCCAGCAGAAAAUACGGAGCAUUGUGCAGUGAUUGGCUCAGUGUUCUGUCACUCAUGGGGACACUACGUCACUGCCAAGUCUAAGGGUAGAGCUCUAAAAUUCUAGCCCCUUGGGUGCUGCCAUAGAGUUACAUUAGAAGUGCCUAUCAAAUAAGGCUCAAGGUCAUUGGCCACAGAUAAAAUGACGUCAAAUCACGUUAUGUCUACAGUAGCUUUGAUUGGACUGAUCAUGUCAACAUAGUACUUUCAAAAUCUUAGCUAGCAGUCAUCAAUCAUCAUGAAUCAAGUCGACAAUCUACUGGCAAAUCCUUUUUAAUCCUUGUCAUAUGAAGAUAAAUAAUAAAGAGAAAUUAUAGAUAAAACGUAUCGUGCACAUCGGCCAUUAGACAUAAACAUUACACAACAAGUUGGAAAUUCAACAAUGAGUGGUUUGGAAGGAAUCAGUGGCUAACUGCAAGCAUUGCAAGUACAUUUUUAGCCUGCUAUUCAGUGGAGUGGCUGUGUGGUCCCAAGUCUAAGAUUAAGGGUCUCUUUUCCUAUUUUAAAAUUAUUAACAUUCAACAUUGGCCAUGCAGUCAAUGAAGGGUGAUUUGUGCCGUGCUCAAAACAACUAUUAACUCGUAACUGCAAAAUCUGACUUUAGUGAGUUCAAGACAUCUGAGAACUCUGGCAAAAACGAGCUACGACUGGGAAAACACGUUUUGAACUUUUAUCUAACUUGGAAUUGUAAAUCGGGAACUCUAGUCUCUUUCUAGAGCUACGCCCUGAAGAUCACUGACGUCAUCAUGAUUCAACCGUAUUUUUUUCAGAGUUCCUAGUUGUCUUGAAAGCACAAUAAAUCCAGAGAAUGCCAGACUUUGAUGACAACAUUUGAUGACAAAACACGCCACCUUCCUGUUCAAGUGAGUACAGCGCAACAAGAAGUGAAAAGAAGAGCGACCCAGGGAUGUGCACGCUUGGGGACCUUUAACAGAAUGUGACUGGCAGAACAGGUGUUGUAUGUGGAGGAUGUAUGCUUUUUGGUUCCCGCCAUGAGCCAGUGAACAUUGGGCCUUUUUAGCUACCUACUCGCUGUUAUUAAUUAUGUAAAAACACAAUAUCAGUUGUGGAAGCACAUUAACAUAUUUUUUUAAUGAAUUAUUGAGCAAUUCAUUUCAUGAGUGACGGACUGUGAAACUUAAUCUCCCAUGAUUCCGUAGUACCGGAAUUGACACAAACAGACAAUCAUAACAUGUGCUAGGGGGUACAACAAAUGACAGAUUAUACAAAGGCCUUGUUUUAACAGGUUUCUUAUUGGAAGAAUGUAGUAUGGUCUUAAUGUACAGCUCAGACUCCUUAUAGAAAACAAGGAGAGUGUUUUUGUUAUUAGUGAAUUUACAUUUAUGAAUGUUACAUUUUUCCAUUAGCACAAUUAGAUUUAAGAGGUCAAAUUUGUUUUCUUUGACCUUAUUACAGUUGCCCUUAUUAUAGUUAAGGAAACCUAGCAGCAUAUUCUCACAUAAUAAACAAAAGUCAUCAAGAAUAUUAACAAUUGUAAAACUAUAAAUAUCUUGCCACAUUUGCUUUCCAUGUAGACAAUGCCAAAAUAAAUGUAAAACUGUUUCUGUUUGCUCAACACAAAAACUACAGUUAAUGCUAUUGUAUUUUUUUUGAGUUUCUUCAGAUAAUGAUUUGCAGGGUACGGUAACUGACGUGUUUUGUUUGUUCUUAGUAGACGUCAGUGGUUGUGUUGAUACCUCACCCAACUUAAAAUAAGAAAUUACUCUGCAUAUAAUACAUAACAUGUAAUAAACAGAAGAAACUAUUUAGCAUUUUAAUUAGAUAUUCGAUGGUGUAGUUAGUUCAUUUAUUGCCUGUAUGUAACCCAUAGAAAUAUUAAUCAUAUUUCUAUGGGACAAUACAGGCCAUAAAUAAACUAGGCUGGUGUCUGCACAUGUUAAACUAUAAUUAUCUUUUUG